rnacentral:lncRNA from 12 species
UGCUUGGACAAGCGAGUCUGGGCUGCCGACCCUCACAGCCCAGGGACCCUGGGGCACCCGCCCCCCCGCCGUUGCUGCGCCCUGCGGAGGGGCUGCACAUGGCACGGGCUGCAGAGAUCCAGCCGCGAGCCAGCGCGAUUCCCCGGGCCCCCAAGUGACUUCUGACCUUAAUCCACCCCUGCGGUAAGAUUUAUUAAUCACCGCGCUCGAGACAGCUUUGUGCCAAGAAGUUCAAAGCGUCUUCCAGCCUUAACCCGUUCAUCCCAGGAGCAUCCCAGGGAGAGCUGAAGGUCUGGCCGGCCUGGGCUGUCAUUCAUCCGUCGGCUACUGCGCGCACACGUCGGGAGGGGGCCGGGCCGACCCUGGCGGCAGGACUUGGCCUCAGCGCCCUGCUGAGUCAACCCGGCAGGCUGGAAAAGAAGCCCGAGUUCCCCGGCCUGGGCCUGGGGCCACGUUGCCAGCGCAGGCUUCCUUCCUUACAAAACAGCCAUUGUCCACAGCUCCAAAGACGCACCCCCCUCCCCACCAUGGCCGGGCGCGUAAGUGGUUGUCACUAUCUAGGUGCCAGCAGCACCAGGGCGGUGUGCGCCGAGCUCGGAAGAGAGGCGCUUGCUCAUCGGGCAGCAAAACACGGCCCUCGCCCUCCGUGAGCAUCCGUUCAGAGCCCGGCCUCCCCCACAGAAGGGCUUGGCCUCCGCCGACCUGGCCACCUGUGCGAGAGAGCGCCACAGCUGUGCGAUCCCCAGGGGCUACCUACCGGGGCAGGGCUUCUCCCCGGGGUGCUCGGGAGGGCCCCCCCACCCCAAGCAGCUGGAUGAGGAAGAAACAACAUGUUCUUUCUCCCAUCUAUCUCGCCCCUGGGUUCUCAAGCUUCUACAUUGUUUUUCGUGUUCGGCCUCAUUUUCGUCCAAAAACUUGAUCUGGGAUCUGGCUGUUUCACGGUGUUCCCUACAGUCUUUCAGAAGUGAAAGAAGAGAGCUAGCUUUCACUUUUUACCCAUGGAAACUUGUACCAUAGCUAUGUAUCCCCUACCAAGGUAAAUAAAUAGAAUGAUCUGUUUAAAACGGCGCA